AGACAUGAACCACUGGCUGAGAAACAUCCUGAUUCUGACUCUCUGGCUAGAGUGUAAAGGAGAAGACAGAGUGACCCAGCCAGCAGGAGAUGUCAUUGCUGCUGAAGGAGACACAGUUACACUUGGCUGUACUUUUGAGACCAGUGACCAAUACCCCUACUUGUUCUGGUACAAACAAGAAGUAAAUGAGUCUCCUAAGUACAUGCUGAAAAGUUACUCAAAAACAACAGAUUUUGAUGCAGAGUUCACAAAAGACAGAUUUAAUGCUACAAUCAAGGAUAAGUCAGUUCCUCUGAAGAUCCAGAAGCUUCAGCUGUCUGACUCUGCUGUGUACUACUGUGCUCUGCGGCCCACAGUGACAGGAAACACCAAAACUCUGUACAAAAACCUUUGGAGCAAAGACAACAGAAUACUCCACAACGUCCACUAGAGGGAGUCACACACUGUUAAACUUCAGUGGUUUAUGAUAUAGUCAGGAUUUGUUUUAGUGGUGAUAGAAGCAACAUUAAAUGAAGCACCACAGAUAAAACACAAUAAACAAAUAACAGAACUUGAAUAUGUUCAUAGUAUUUUCAAAGUAUCUUCAAUACUACUCCAGCAGAUUGUUUUCACAGACAAUUGAAAUGCUUGGUGACUGUAACCAUUGCAAGCUUUAAGCUGUGCUGCCUGGUUUGAAGCAAUAUGUAGACUGUAAUACCCCCAUUUGCACCUCUCACCAUAAUGUCCAUUUAAUUCCCACCUACAAGUCCCUGCUCGAAAGCAGGAGAGCACAAGUAAAACUGUACUUGUUUGGAACAAUGAUGGCAUUGAGACCUUAAAGGGAAAUGAAGCAGUCAAUCAAGUUUACAUCAUUUACACAAUGGAUUUCCACUACGAUCAACAAUUAUACAAGAAACAUGACAAAUGUAAACGUAUAAAAGACAAAAGAAAAGAAGAAUUGUCAUAUCUUUAACGGAAAGGGUGCCACCAUUGUGCAGUACGAUAACCUGCAAUGUCACGGGGUUGGUUGGCUUUAAGGCUCUGGGUGAGAGAUAGUGAAAUAUAGAGCCAGUGAAAGAGAAAUAGUGAAAGAGAUAGUGAAACAUAGACCUAGUGAAAGACAGAGCCAGUGAAAGAUAAUGAACAAGAGAUAGUGAAAGACACAGACAGGGAAAGAAAUAGUGAAAGA